AACAUCUGCGAUACAAACGCCAGUCAAGCUGCCUGCCUGCCGUUCGUUCGUUCGGAAGCCAUCGAACGCGUCGAGGAAAAUGCUCGGAGGACGCACCUCAGAGUCGUGGGGCGCCUCCUUCACUCUUGGCGACUGUCAAAAGGCAAAUACGGAGCAUUAGAUUGUACUGCCAUUAGUAAGCAGAGCACACAGGAGGUCAAAGGGCACACAGGAUGUACUGUGAAGGGCACACAGGCGGUCAAAGGAAGAAAAUGGCUGGCACACAAGAAGGUGCAACUGAUUGGAGGUGAUUUGGUGAGUAAAUAAAAACAAAACAGAAAAGAGAUGUUGAAGAGGGAGGAAUUGGAAACAGAAUACAGAUGGCUUCCAGGAAGGGGAACUCUCGCUGAAACAGGUGGUCUGUUUUUGCACUCCAAUCGUAGUGUGGUGACGUUUUUUUUUUGGUCUUUUCAAUUGGCUGAGCGUGAGCUAACGAGAGUCCUUCCUUGUUAGGGGAAGGCCAUGUGUACUGCGCUGCUGGCAAGUGAACAACCCUGGACGCCGGAAGCUCGAGUGGGUAGGAGAAGCGCACUUGUCGCCGGGGGGCGCCAGCAGGCUUCACCUGCUGCUCCUUCGCCGUCAAACAGAACAUACAGACGCACAGGUGAGACGCACAUGGAGAUACAACGGACACUGGAGACCAAACAAACGAGGGCAAGGAGGAGGAGGCACGCGCACGCCGCCGCCGGCAGGCGCAGCUCACCCGCAAGGCGGCCACGGCCGCUUUGCCUUCCUCGCUCUCUUCGUCCAGCUCGUCGUCGCUCCACUCCCACUCGCCGUCCUCUGUCUUGUGCAGACGCCCGCUGGAACCUGGAACACGGCGUACCUGAAACAAGCCAGCAACAAAUUGAAACUUUCUGUCAUCAUUUUGAAAAAAUAAACAUUGACGUAACAAAA